UACGGAGGAGGCAAGCGUUAUCCGGAAUUAUUGGGCGUAAAGCGGCCGUAGGCGGCCAUGCAAGUCUGCUGUCAAAGCAUGGAGCUUAACUCCAUAGAGGCAGUGGAAACUGAAUAGCUAGAGUUCGGUAGGGGUAGCGGGAAUUCCCAGUGUAGCGGUGAAAUGCGUAGAGAUUGGGAAGAACAUCGGUGGCGAAAGCGCGCUACUGGGCCGAAACUGACACUGAGGGACGACAGCUAGGGCAGCUAAAGGG
rnacentral:rRNA from 1 species